rnacentral:ribozyme from 1 species
GGGCUCAAGGCGUCGUGCGCAUUUGACCCUCCUU